UGGCACCUGCCGCCCCAAGUCCCCGCAUGGGAGUGGGACAGUUGAGUGGGGGGAGGAAGCACAGGCCGCCCCGCCUGGGACCCCACGGGGUUUGGAGGCAGCCUCAGACAUGCCUGUGUUGUCUUUUUGCUUUGAAGUUGGCUGGACUGGGGCGGAUAGAGAGAGGCCAGCCGUGUGGCGCCUGCGGUGACCAGUGCCCCGGGUUCGCCCUGCACAAAUGGAGAAUUCUGCUGAUAACUACCCAGGAUAGUGACAGUCCGGGUUCCAGAUUGUUACCAAGCAUGAUCCCAGAGAAGUGGAGCCAGUAGAAAGACAAUGCUUCCCCAGCUACAGAUGAGGACAUGCAGAUGAGGCUUCUGGGCCAGGUCUGCAGACAGCAGGACCCGUCUUCUUCCAGCGAGCUUCUGUACCAAGCAGCUCUUUGCCCACAUUUGACCCUAAGCGCGGGCGUAAUUCGUCCCUUUGCUGAGAUUCAGAAAGCCAGCGUCCUCCUCGUCAUGGUCAGGCUGAGCUGGGUUGGAAAGGUCGUGAGAUGCCUUUGCAGCCCAGCCAUGCCAGGCCUACCCCUGCAUCACCCAGCUCAGUCACGGUGCUCUGGAAAUCUGUGUGCCUCACCUGCCAACUCACACUGAAGCUCGAAGCUAGGCCUGAGAAAGACAAUGCAGCUAAUAUAACCGAUCAAGACAGUAUCAACUGACAAGAUGCCAUUAUUAACUUCUUAUAUGGCUAACAUAUUGCAGUGAUAUCUUGGGUCUACUAGUUUAAAAUAAAUAUUUUGCCAAAAUUCAUUUCACCUGUUUUUAGUUUCAGUGUGGCUAGCAGACAUUGUGUUUUUCUGUGUGUCUUGCAUUAUAUUUCUGUUGGACUGCAGUCCUGCUGAAAUAAUCCCUCUCAGCUGUUCCGUUCGUGAGGCAAGAGGUUGAUGUGUUUUGUUUUUAACUGUUACAGGAACAAGCAGGAUUUAUCCAAAAAAAGAAAAAAAUGGGAUAAUUUUUGGAGGCGAAGCCCUUUCAGGGACAGACAGUUGUCUCCGCCGCUCUGUGGGCUCUUGAGUUCUCUGGGCAAAGCACGACUUCACACUGGGAGCCCUGCCUGUCCACCGGAGUAGCUACUUUCCAACGCCACCUUCGGCUCCAGCUGCGCUAGUGCUGAGGUGCUGGUGUGGGACCUGGGCACCGAUAGCCAGCUGCGUUUGUAGGGUUGGGGCCCCGCUGCCUCUUCCUCCAUGCUGGGAGGG
rnacentral:lncRNA from 1 species